GAGUUUGAUCAUGGCUCAGGACGAACGCUGGCGGCGUGCCUAAUGCAGCAAGUCGAGCGACGCAUCUCGGAGGGGUAACCCACUGGGAUGACGGAGCGGCGAACGGGUGAGUAACACGUGACCAACCUGCCUCGAAGACUGGGAUAGCCCGGGGAAACCCGGAUUAAUACCGGAUCGCUUCCUCUUACCGCAUGGUUUGAGGAAGAAAGCUUUUGCGCUUCGAGAUGGGGUCGCGGCCUAUCAGGUAGUUGGUGGGGUAACGGCCUACCAAGCCAUCGACGGGUAGCUGGUCUGAGAGGACGAUCAGCCACACUGGAACUGAGACACGGUCCAGACUCCUACGGGAGGCAGCAGCAGGGAAUAUUGCACAAUGGGCGAAAGCCUGAUGCAGCAACGCCGCGUGGGGGAUGAAGGCCUUCGGGUUGUAAACCCCUUUCAGGAGGGAAGAAAUUGACGGUACCUCCAAAAGAAGCCCCGGCCAACUACGUGCCAGCAGCCGCGGUAAUAC
rnacentral:rRNA from 1 species